rnacentral:rRNA from 1 species
AACGAACGCUGGCGGCAUGCCUAACACAUGCAAGUCGAACGAGACCUUCGGGUCUAGUGGCGCACGGGUGCGUAACGCGUGGGAACCUGCCUUUAGGUUCGGAAUACCUCAGAGAAAUUUGAGCUAAUACCGGUUGAUGUCUUCGGACCAAAGAUUUAUCGCCUUUAGAUGGGCCCGCGUUGGAUUCGCUAGUUGGUGGGGUAAAGGCCUACCAAGGCGACGAUCCAUAGCUGGUCUGAGAGGAUGAUCAGCCACACUGGGACUGAGACACGGCCCAGACUCCUACGGGAGGCAGCAGUGGGGAAUAUUGGACAAUGGGCGAAAGCCUGAUCCAGCAAUGCCGCGUGAGUGAUGAAGGCCUUAGGGUUGUAAAGCUCUUUUACCCGAGAUGAUAAUGACAGUAUCGGGAGAAUAAGCUCCGGCUAACUCCGUG